rnacentral:rRNA from 1 species
UUAAGCUACUAAGAGCGUAGGGAGAAUGCCUAGGUACCAAUAGCCGAAGAAAGACGUGAUAAGCUGCGAAAAGCCACGGGGAGAAGCAAAUAUUCAAUAUAUCCGUGGAUUUCUGAAUGAGGAAACUCAACUGACAGGAACAGGUCAGUUAUCUAUACAUGAGUAAAGUAGUGUAUAGAGGGGAACGUGGGGAACUGAAACAUCUAAGUACCCACAGGAAAAUAAAGAAAACUCGAUUCCUAGAGUAGUGGCGAGCGAAAUAGGAAGAGCCCAAACCGGAAGAAGAAAUUCAUCCGGGGUUCGGACUACAUAAUUGAUUCAAGAAGGUUAGUAAAAUUGUUUGGGAAAGCAAACCAGAGACGGUGAAAGUCCAGUAUACGAAAACUGAAUUGACAAGGUAGUAUCCAGAGUAGUGCGAGACACGUGAAAUCUCGUAUGAAAGAGCGGGGACCACCCCGUAAGGCUAAAUACUAAUUGGUAACCGAUAGUGAAGAAGUACCGUGAGGGAAAGUUGAAAAGAACCCCGGGAGGGGAGUGAAAUAGAACCUGAAACCCUAUGUUUACAAGCAGACAGAGCACGUUAAGGUGCGAUGUCGUACUUUUUGUAGAACGGUCCGGCGAGUUAUUUUAUAUGGCAAGGUUAAGUACUGAAGGUACGAAGCCGAAGAGAAAUCGAGUCUGAAGAGGGCGAAGAAGUCAUAUGAAAUAGACCCGAAACCGAGUGACCUAUCCAUGUCCAGGUUGAAGCUUGAGUAAAAUCAAGUGGAGGACCGAACCGAUAAGCGUUAAAAAGCUUCCGGAUGAGGUGUGGAUAGCGGAGAAAUUCCAAUCGAACUCGGAGAUAGCUGGUUCUCCUCGAAAUAGUUUUAGGACUAGCCUUGUUUUAUUAGCACAUGGGGGUAGAGCACUGAAUGAGGUAGGGGCCAACAAGGUUACUGAACUCUAUCAAACUACGAAUACCGUGUGUGGAAGAACAGGAGUCAGACUGCGGGAGCUAAGUUCCGUGGUCAAAAGGGAAAGAGCCCAGAUCGUCAAUUAAGGUCCCAAAGAUAUAGUUAAGUGGAAAACGAUGUGAUUUUGCGUAAACAACCAGGAUGUUGGCUUAGAAGCAGCCAUUCAUUCAAAGAGUGCGUAAUAGCUCACUGGUCGAGUGAAGUUGCGCGGAAAAUUACCGGGGCUAAACUAUACACCGAAAUUGCGGAUUUGUACGUAAGUACAAGUGGUAGAGGAGCAUUCUAUAGUAGGACGAAGCAUAAUCGAAAGGAUAUGUGGACGAGAUAGAAGAGAGAAUGCCGGAAUAAGUAGCGAAAGCAUGGUGAGAAUCCAUGCCAUCGAAAGUCUAAGGUUUCCUGGGGAAGGUUCGUCCGCCCAGGGUAAGUCGGGACCUAAGGAGAGGCCGAAAAGCGUAUCCGAUGGACAGCAGGUAGAAAUUCCUGCACUGCGAAAUACUUAAAAGAUGCAAAUGACACAAGAGUGGAAGAUGAGCGAGGAAGAGGAAAAACUCGUAUCGAAAGAUAUAGUGAAACAAUAGUAACGAAUCAUCAAGAAGCUAAUGGCGAGAAAAGUUUGUAGAUAUUGUAUUUAGUACCCGUACCGCAAACCGACACAGGUAGAUGAGGAGAGGAUCCUAAGAUGAGCGAGAGAAGCAUUGUUAAGGAACUCGGCAAACUGACCCCGUAACUUCGGAAUAAGGGGUGCUGGUGUAAAAGCCAGUCGCAGAGAAUAGUCCCAAGCAACUGUUUAACAAAAACACAGGUUUCUGCUAAAUCGAAAGAUGAAGUAUAGGAGCUGACACCUGCCCAGUGCUGGAAGGUUAAGGGAAAGGGUUAGGAGUAAUCCGAAGCCUAGAACUAAAGCCCCAGUGAACGGCGGCCGUAACUAUAACGGUCCUAAGGUAGCGAAAUUCCUUGUCAGGUAAGUUCUGACCCGCACGAAAGGUGUAAUGAUUUGGGAGCUGUCUCGACAAUGUACUCGGCGAAAUUGUAGUACUAGUGAAGAUGCUAGUUACCUGCGACAAGACAGAAAGACCCCAUGGAGCUUUACUGCAGCUUGAUACUGGGUUUCGGUAAUUUAUGUACAGGAUAGGUGGGAUGCUAUGAAGCAAUUGCGCCAGCAAUUGUGGAGCAGACGUUGGGAUACCACCCUUAAAUUACUGAAAUUCUAACUAGCCGUCAUGAACUGGCGGGAGGACAAUGUCAGGCGGGCAGUUUGACUGGGGCGGUCGCCUCCUAAAGAGUAACGGAGGCGCGCAAAGGUUUCCUCAGCGCGGACAGAAAUCGCGCGAAAGAGUGCAAAGGCAGAAGGAAGCUUAACUGAGAGACAGACAUGUCGACCAGAUACGAAAGUAGGUCUUAGUGAUCCGGUGGUAGUAAGUGGGAAUGCCAUCGCUCAACGGACAAAAGUUACCCUGGGGAUAACAGGCUUAUCUCCCCCAAGAGUUCACAUCGACGGGGAGGUUUGGCACCUCGAUGUCGGCUCGUCGCAUCCUGGGGCUGUAGUAGGUCCCAAGGGUUUGGCUGUUCGCCAAUUAAAGCGGCACGCGAGCUGGGUUCAGAACGUCGUGAGACAGUUCGGUCCCUAUCCAUCGUGGGCGUAAGAAGUUUGAGAGGAGCUGUUCUUAGUACGAGAGGACCGGGAUGGACGCACCGCUGGUGUACCAGUUGUUCUGCCAAGGGCAUAGCUGGGUAGCUAAGUGCGGACGGGAUAAACGCUGAAGGCAUCUAAGCGUGAAGCCCCCCUCAAGAUGAGACUUCUCAUCCUUUAAGGAGUAAGACCCCUUGUAGACUAUGAGGUUGAUAGGCCGCGGGUGUAAGUGCAGUAAUGUAUUUAGCUGAGCGGUACUAAUAGGUCGAGGGCUUGAUCAA